rnacentral:rRNA from 1 species
CCUACGGGAGGCAGCAGUGGGGGAUAUUGCACAAUGGGGGAAACCCUGAUGCAGCGACGCCGCGUGGGUGAAGAAGCGCCUCGGCGCGUAAAGCCCUGUCAGCAGGGAAGAAAAUGACGGUACCUGAAGAAGAAGCCCCGGCUAACUACGUGCCAGCAGCCGCGGUAAUACGUAGGGGGCAAGCGUUAUCCGGAUUUACUGGGUGUAAAGGGGGCGCAGACGGCGAUGCAAGCCAGGAGUGAAAGCCCGGGGCCCAACCCCGGGACUGCUCUUGAAACUGUGUUUCUUGAGUGCUGGAGAGGCAA